rnacentral:ncRNA from 20 species
GCGAAUAUAUCUUGAAUGGGUGAUCUAUCAGUUGGGGAGAAAAGCUCACUAAUUGAUAGAUUUAAAAGGGAAGUCUGCAUGAGGAGAAUCUAGGCUGUGAAGUUGAGGAUUUCUUGUGACAGCGCGGUCCCGCCACUGUAAACAACAUAGACUUUCUUGAGUACUGCCACCUGAUUAUGGUUUAAAUAAUCGGGGAAGGAAGAAGAAAGGUUGUUGUAGCCAGGAAACCUGCCUAUUUAAGUCAGACAUGU